UAUCAUUGGCCGCUAGUGGCUAGUGGAGGGGGAUGCGCAGAAUGGCUGAAAAUUGGACCGCCUUCUUACGUGAUGCGAACUUUAGUAUCAUUAGAUAUUCCAACCAAACAGUAAUUAUCAUGAGCACAACACACGGAGGAAGAAUGACAUACACAACGAGCACAGAAAUUUGAGCUUGGCGCAAGAGGGUGUCCACUACACUGGAACGAAACUCUUCAGUGAUCCUCCUCCUGAAAUACAGACAGAGAUUCAUAACAAGAAAGCAGUCCUUCUAGAGAAAUGCUUACUUGAAUAACAGUCUUUUGGUGUGUCUGACUGCAACUCAACAUCUCCAGUAUAUGGACAGCCAAUGCCCUACUGAAGCAGAGAACAGUAAAGAUAUGGAGGCACUGGCCGAAUUCUGAAGUUAAGACCUGUGGAAUACAAAUGCAGCUUCCUGCUCUGUGCUGGUCCCACAGCUGCCCAGCUCCAGGUACUGAGUGUGUGUAGACACUGAUAAUGGUGUGACUAGUCGUCAUCCUCUUGAUCUGUGAAAAGUGCGCCAAGGCUGCCGUCCACCCUCAGGUCUGGCAUCUGGGCAGUAAUUCUGUCCAGGACGUCUUGGUCUCCAUCACAGUAACCAAUUUCCAGCUCUCUGUACAACAGCACAAGUGGAUGACAGAGGGCGGCGCGGCGCUCCAUCACAUCAUCAUCGGCAGCCUUUGGAAUUUGCGCCACCCUUGCUCUUGCGCCCCUGGCAGGGGCCACUCUUGCCAACCUGGGUACACCCCUGGAUAAGCAUCAACCACUGUGCUGCAUUCUACGAGGGUGGUUUGAAAAGUUACCGGAAUCACCACGAGAGGUUAGCGCAAGCGCAACGAGUUGUUCACGUGAUAUUCAUUGGAGUGUUGCCUGUAAACACGUGCCACAUCAGUGCUCUUGGAAGAGAGCUGUGGCGGUGACAUGGCUCUGUUGUUGUUCCUGCGUAGUGAUUUGCAAAGACAUUGGGAGGGAAUCGAGAUUCGAACAGUGAUUAAGUUCUGUGACGAAACAAGCUGGGAUAUUUUUACUUGCCCUCUUGGUUUGCCAUCUGCCUCCUUAAAUUCAUUUUUUCAAUUUAACUAAGUACCAUUAACUUAUGUGCAUGUAAUCUGUAUUUUCAUAAAAGAGAAAGGUUGGUCCUCAGCCUUAAAGAAUAUACCACCAGAUCUAA